rnacentral:rRNA from 1 species
UACGUAGGGGGCAAGCGUUGUCCGGAUUUAUUGGGCGUAAAGAGCGUGUAGGCGGCCAGAUAGGUCCGUUGUGAAAACUCGAGGCUCAACCUCGAGACGUCGGUUGAAACCGUACGGCUAGAGUCCGGAAGAGGAGAGUGGAAUUCCCGGUGUAGCGGUGAAAUGCGCAGAUAUCGGGAAGAACACCCGUGGCGAAGGCGGCUCUCUGGGACGGUACUGACGCUGAGACGCGAAAGCGUGGGGGAGCGAACAGG